rnacentral:rRNA from 1 species
GUUAUAACCGGCGAUACCCGAAUGGGGAAACCCAGUGUGAUUGGUCACACUAUCAUUAACUGAAUCCAUAGGUUAAUGAGGCGAACCGGGGGAACUGAAACAUCUAAGUACCCCGAGGAAAAGAAAUCAACCGAGAUUCCCCCAGUAGCGGCGAGCGAACGGGGAGGAGCCCAGAGCCUGAAUCAGCAUGUGUGUUAGUGGAAGCGUCUGGAAAGGCGCGCGAUACAGGGUGACAGCCCCGUACACAAAAGCGCAUGUGCUGUGAGCUCGAUGAGUAGGGCGGGACACGUGGUAUCCUGUCUGAAUAUGGGGGGACCAUCCUCCAAGGCUAAAUACUCCUGACUGACCGAUAGUGAACCAGUACCGUGAGGGAAAGGCGAAAAGAACCCCGGCGAGGGGAGUGAAAAAGAACCUGAAACCGUGUACGUACAAGCAGUGGGAGCACCCUUCGGGGUGUGACUGCGUACCUUUUGUAUAAUGGGUCAGCGACUUAUAUUCUGUAGCAAGGUUAACCGAAUAGGGGAGCCGGAGGGAAACCGAGUCUUAAUUGGGCGUUAAGUUGCAGGGUAUAGACCCGAAACCCGGUGAUCUAGCCAUGGGCAGGUUGAAGGUUGGGUAACACUAACUGGAGGACCGAACCGACUAAUGUUGAAAAAUUAGCGGAUGACCUGUGGCUGGGGGUGAAAGGCCAAUCAAACCGGGAGAUAGCUGGUUCUCCCCGAAAGCUAUUUAGGUAGCGCCUCGUGAAUUCAUCUCCGGGGGUAGAGCACUGUUUCGGCUAGGGGGCCAUCCCGGCUUACCAACCCGAUGCAAACUGCGAAUACCGGAGAAUGUUAUCACGGGAGACACACGGCGGGUGCUAACGUCCGUCGUGAAGAGGGAAACAACCCAGACCGCCAGCUAAGGUCCCAAAGUCAUGGUUAAGUGGGAAACGAUGUGGGAAGGCCCAGACAGCCAGGAUGUUGGCUUAGAAGCAGCCAUCAUUUAAAGAAAGCGUAAUAGCUCACUGGUCGAGUCGGCCUGCGCGGAAGAUGUAACGGGGCUAAACCAUGCACCGAAGCUGCGGCAGCGAACGUAUCACCCAAGACAACUUUACGGAGUUGACGAUUGACGGAGCGAAGCGACGUCAAAGCGUUCAUUAAAGUCGAGUUGGCUUAGGGAUACGUUCGUUGGGUAGGGGAGCGUUCUGUAAGCCUGUGAAGGUGUGUCGUGAGGCAUGCUGGAGGUAUCAGAAGUGCGAAUGCUGACAUAAGUAACGAUAAAGCGGGUGAAAAGCCCGCUCGCCGGAAGACCAAGGGUUCCUGUCCAACGUUAAUCGGGGCAGGGUGAGUCGACCCCUAAGGCGAGGCCGAAAGGCGUAGUCGAUGGGAAACGGGUUAAUAUUCCCGUACUUGGUGUUACUGCGAAGGGGGGACGGAGAAGGCUAUGUUGGCCGGGCGACGGUUGUCCCGGUUUAAGCGUGUAGGUGUGUGUUCCAGGUAAAUCCGGUUCACUUUAACACUGAGGCGUGACGACGAGGCACUACGGUGCUGAAGCAACAAAUGCCCUGCUUCCAGGAAAAGCCUCUAAGCAUCAGGU